GGCAAGAUGGCCGAGUUGGUUAUGGCGCCAGGUUAAGGUUAUCUUAACAUGCAUCCUGGUUCGGGAAACCGAGCGUGGGUUCAAGUCCCACUCUUGUCA
rnacentral:tRNA from 2 species